AUUGAACGCUGGCGGCAUGCUUUACACAUGCAAGUCGAACGGUAACAGGCCGCAAGGUGCUGACGAGUGGCGAACGGGUUAGUAAUGCAUCGGAACGUGCCCAGUCGUGGGGGAUUACGCAGCGAAAGCUGCGCUAAUACCGCAUACGAUCUAUGGAUGAAAGCGGGGGGACGUAAGGCCUCGCGCGAUAGGAGGGGGCGAUGGCAGAUUAGGUAGUUGGUGGGGUAAAGGCUCACCACACCAACGAUCUGUAGCUGGUCUGAGAGGACGACCAGCCACACUGGGACUGAGACACGGCCCAGACUCCUACGGGAGGCAGCAGUGGGGAAUUUUGGACAAUGGGCGCAAGCCUGAUCCAGCAAUGCCGCGUGCAGGAAGAAGGCCUUCGGGUUGUAAACUGCUUUUGUACGGAACGAAACGGCUCUGGUUGAUACCUGGGGCUAAUGACGGUACCGUAAGAAUAAGCACCGGCUAACUACGUGCCAGCCGCCGCCGUAAGAC
rnacentral:rRNA from 1 species